rnacentral:misc_RNA from 1 species
ACCUGCUCGCAGCACCCUGCUGUCUUCCCGGUCCGGCCCGCUGCCCGCGGCGCCAGCACCAUGCAUCUGUGGAACCCUCCAUUCUGUGGAUCAGUAUCUCAACAUCAAACUAACUGACAUCAGUGUCACAGACCCUGAGAAAUACCCUCACAUGUUAUCAGUGAAGAACUGCUUCAUUCGGGGCUCAGUGGUCCGAUACGUGCAGCUGCCAGCAGAUGAGGUCGACACACAGUUGCUACAGGAUGCGGCAAGGAAGGAAGCCCUGCAGCAGAAACAGUGAUGGCUCCUCCUCCUCUUCCCCUCCCUCUUUCAUUGGUGACCCAUAACCCCAAGUCCCAGCCCAGAACCCCUAACCCCCAAUACUUGAAGGGGUUUUGUUUUUUUACUAAUGAUGGUUUUGUGGGUUUUUUUUAAGGGAUGAGUGGAUGAGAGGAGUAAUAGGGAACAGCUAUCCUCUCUUGAGAAGGGGAGGAUAAGUAGGCUGGGAAACUUCAAAGCCUUCCCAGUCCCCAGCACCUGCCUUUCUCACUACUUCUCUGGAGAUGGUAGGAGAGUUUCCUAGGUCUUUCCAGGGCAGCAUGUGAUUCAUUUGGGGAUGGAAGGAAUCUGUCCCGCAUCGGGAAUAAAAUUUAUGAUGCAAA